rnacentral:rRNA from 1 species
AUGGAAAUAAAAAAGAUCCGGCCUUCCCCAAGGCUUGGUUCCGACUUUCUUGGAUGGGCACAUGAAAAAAGUGGACAAUUCUCCGUCAAAAGCGCUUAUAGGCUGGCUUAUGAGGAACUCCACAGUGCAUCGAUUAGUUCUUCGGGUACCAACUCACAAGGGGGGCGACAAAUAUGGAAAGCUAUUUGGUCUGCACUGGGCCCACCAAAAGUCCUCUCUUUUGGUUGGAGACUAGCAACGAACAGUUUGGCAACUUGGAGUAACAAGAUGAAAAGAAACAUGGCAGUGAGCACCACUUGCCUGAUUUGCGGUCUGGAGGAGGAAGAUACCUUCCAUGUCUUCUGCUCCUGCCCUAAUGCGCGACAACUAUGGAAUGCACUGCUCGUGGAUUGGUCACUACCAGCUUUACAAUCCAUUAGUACGACCGGGGAAGAUUGGUUCUUGGUGUUUUUCUGCAAUCUGAAUGAAGAAAUGAGAGUACGUGUCCUGCUGUUGUUUUGGAGGAUGUGGUAUGUUAGGAACGAGAUUGUGCAUUCAAAACCAGCUCCCCCAGUUGAUGUGUCUAAGAGGUUUUUGAGCAGCUACCUUGACACUCUCUACUCCAUUAGUGCAGACCCGUUUGAUUCAAUCAAAGGAAAAGCAGUCACUACCAUGUGUUUCCCACAUGUGGAUCCAGCAUGCAAUAAUAGGCCACAACCUGCUGAUAUUUUGUGGUCGCGACCUGUGAUUGGCAGAAAUAAAUUAAAUGUUGAUGGUUCCUUCCUCAACAAUGAAGCAGGAGCAGCUCUGGCAGUCCGACGGUUCUGUGACCUGGAUCCCCUCGACCCGAAAGCGACCUUGACAGUAUCGAGCAUAAUGCAGGCAAUUGGAUCGGUGAACCGAAGUAUUAGGUCCGAACCUCGUACCCUCGUCUCAAGGGAAAACGUUGUGCCUAACAGCCGAUCCUCCCUUGUUGGGCUCGGCAGCUUGUCAACGGCCAGAAGGGGAAGCCACGGAGAACGACCGCAGCCCAAAUCUAAUCGCAUAUCCGCUCUCCCUGUGCACCACGCGUCGUUGUGGCCCCGCCCAACGCUCCAAUCACCUCCACCUUAUCUUCUCCCAGGAAGCAUAUCCUCCACUGGAUUCUUUCUAUUUCCCUUCUCUCGGUCGUCAACCUGCAGAGGAAAAGCAAGCAGCAACACCGCAUCGGAGGAUGCGACGCCCGUCGGCACGUCGUCUGAUUCAUCCUCGGCUGCAAUAGAGCUCCGCUGUGGCUGCAUUGAAGCGCCACCGGAGCUACAUGGUACCUUCCGCCGCCGUUGUCACGCGCUGCGUCGCAACUUUCACCAUCGCCGGCGCUGCAAUGGAGGGUCCUCGGAGCUCCGCUGCGGCUGCAAUGGAGCUUCGCCGCGGCUGCAAUGGAGCACCGUCAGGUCAUCGGAGCUCCGCCAUGGCUGCAAUGGAGCACCGUCGCGGCUUCAAUGGAGCUUCACCGUGGCUGCAUUGGAGCACCGUCGGGGUCGUCGGAGCUCCGCCGCGGCUUCAAUGGAGCUUCACCGCAGCUACAAUGGAGCACCGUCGGGGUCGUCGGAGCGCCGCCGCGGCUUCAAUGGAGCUUCGUCGCGGCUGCAAUGGAGCACCGUCGGGGUCGUCGGAGCUCCGUCGCGGCUUCAAUGGAACUUCACCGUGGCUGCAAUGGAGCACCGUCGGGGUCACUGGAGCUUCGCCCAGGAUGUUGUCGGUGUUGCUUUGAAGCUUUUUUUGCAGCCCUCGUAUCUCCGGCGGCUCCGGUGCUACGAGGUCGCCGGCACAAGUGCCAUCCGUUGCUUUUGCUACACCAUCGCUGUGUUCAGAGGAGGCGUGGUGUGGAUUGACGACGGAUUGUUGCAUCUUCACUGCAGAGGAGGACGCGGCCAGGAUGGGCUGCGAUCGAACAUCACCAGCGCCGGAUCGGACGGCUGGUUAGGUGGAUGA